rnacentral:tRNA from 1 species
GCCGACUUAGCUCAGUAGGUAGAGCAACUGACUUGUAAUCAGUAGGUCACCAGAUCGACUCCGGUAGUCGGCACCA